AAGCCAAACAGAAGGCUGGGAGAUGUGCACAAGGAGCAGAAGUGGUUUCCAAGAAGAUUCAGGGAAAACAAAGCAGGAAAGAAUAUGAUGCAGUGCCAGAAUAUAAGUAUCUCAUGCCAGGGUGAGUGUGAAAGGCUUGAUGACAGCAGCCAUGGCCACAAUGGUUUGUCAUUUUUUGCACGAGUCUUCAGUUCAUGCUCUUCACACUUUACUCUUGUCCUCAGCCAUGGCAUAGGGAUGGGGAAGAAAUUGAAUUUGGAUUCCAUUUUUACAGGAAUGUACUUAACUCACACUUCCUGAAAAAUACAGACAACACAGCCAUUCUUCAAAAUUCUUAGUUUUCUGAAUUUUGCAUUUAUUAGGGGGUAGUGUGCAGGAAAAAUGCAUAUGUUGAUGCUGGGGGAAAUUGCUUGCAAAUAUGUCUAUAUUGGGCAAACUUGCAGGAAAAGUUGUAAUUGGCUGAUUGGUCUGUCCCUAGAAUGUCCAUAAGGAGAUCUUGUUUCUUAUUUUGAUAAACUACAGUUUAGUGCUAUGUCUGAAACCUAAAUAGUUGUUGCUUAACUGGCUUGGUUACUUGAAGGAAACCAGAUUUAUAACCAGUGAUUUGAAGUUUGCUCAUUCAACUAUCUUCAGUUAAGACUAAAUAAAGUUUUUUUCAGAGUUUUGGUAUAAAAGUAAGCUGUGGUUAAUCUAAAGGAAAAAUUUCCAGUCUCCUUCUUCUGGUUGCACAGGGGAAGGGCACAAACCUAAGGUUUGCCUGUGAUUGUUCCUCUAACCACUGUUUAUAAUUUCAGCCCAAUCCAGCCAUGGAUUGCACAGGGAGAAAUCUAGGCCCAUUCUAAAUUUUCCAUGGAGAUUGAUGAAUUGAUGGGACUUUUAAAAAAAUUACUAAGUAUGGGUAUACUCUGGUAGCCCACAGGUUUAAUUAAGCCCACUGGGCAUCCUAAUUUGACCCACGGGCCUUUUUACCACAGUCACACCCAGCUGUUUUGCACCUGACAUCAGGUGUGGGUCAGGUAAAGCUAAUAAUCACAAUAUACCCCAGAUUGUUUUACUGAAAGCUAGGCUUGCCUUUGUUGUUGCUUUACUCUCAACAAAAAGGAGCCUAGAAUAGCAGGUAUAGAGUACUGGAUACAAGGGUGAGCUGGGAAAUCUUUUUUUAUAGAUAUAUAAUAAUUUUGAUUAAAUUUUCCAUUAUACAAAUUCACCAUAUCAAUUUUUUUUCACAAAUUUCAACUUUUUAGACUUCCAUCAGCUUCUCUGCAAAUCAUCCAUAUUUUUUUUACAUACUUUACGCAUUCUCUAAAUAUAAUAUUGCCUUUUAGCAUACCCUUACUAUCCUGUUUCUUUUUAACAAUAUUCCUCUAGCUUUCACAAAACUUCUUUAAAUCCCACUAGCGUUGUUUGUUCAUCACAUAUACUUUUCAGAUAUUCUGUGAAUUUUGCCCAGUCCUCAAUGAACUUGUGAUCCCGUUGGUAUCUAAUCUUCCCAGUUAGUUUGUCCAACUCUGCAUAGUCCAUAAGUUUCAUUCUCCACUCUUCAAGGGUCGGUAGUUCCUCCUGUUUCCAUUUCUGGGCCAUUAAUAUUCUCGCUGCCGUUACUGCGUAUUGAAAGAGUUUAUAGUCCCUUCUAUUUAUCUCACUUCCUGUUAUUCCUAACAGAAAGGCUUCUGGUUUCUUUACAAAUGUAUAUUUCAACAUCUUUUUCAACUCAUUAUAUAUCAUCUCCCAGAAACCCUUCACCUUUUUACAUUCCCACCACAUAUGAUAAAAUGAUCCUUCUUUUUCUUUACAUUUCCAACACUUAUUACACGUUUUAAACAUUUUUGCUAACUUAACCGGUGUGAUAUACCAUCUAUAUACCAUUUUCAUGAUAUUUUCCUUUAACGUAGUACAUGCUGUAAAUUUUAUAUUUUCAUUCCAUACUUUUUCCCAAUCAUCUAAUUAUAUAUUGUAUCCAAAAUCUCUGGCCCAGUAUAUCAUAACCGACUUUCCUUCCUCAUCCAUUGUAUACCAUUCCAACAACAUUUUAUACAUUUUUGACAGGGUGAGCUGGGAAAUCUCAGCUCAAACAUAAAGUCUUUAAGUGCUCUUAGGCAGGUCACUAUUCCCUCAAGACUCAACCUCCGCUUUGCAAUAUGUGCAUUUCAAGUAUCUUCCUUAUUAGAAUGCUACAUUUAAAAAUUAACAGAUAAUGCUUUUAUUGUGUUUUAUAUCAUCUUUUCAGCAUUAAUUUUUUUUUAAAAGCAACAGCAAGAAAUAAUGCUAACAACCUUUAAACUUUGUUUCUCAAAGAUGCAUAAAGAUGGAAGCAGAUGAAAAUGAGAAUACUCUACACUUCCUUUGCUCCAGUGUACAUAGCGUGUACAUAGAGGAAUUAAGCCCUUCAGCAACGCUUUCAAGAAUGAAGCAAUAAUUGUGCUUCCCUGAGAACUACUCAACACACAGGCUGGACUCAAUCUCAUUCCCAUGACCAGCCUGAGAAUUACAGUCCACUUCUGACGCUUUAACUCAGAAGAUCAAUCGAGCGCUGACCUCUGCUUUACCCCUGUGGAUCUGUGGAGAGUUAUUAAGAGUGAUUAGUUAG